UGUGUGACCCCAUAGGUUCUACUCUGACUGGUAGUGAGAUAUAUUGUGAUCUCUAUCUCAAUAUCAUUGAAAACUCCUUUCAAUGGGUUGGAACGAUUCCAACUCAACUCGUUGGGGUUUAUCGAUCAUCAAGAUAAUCCCUAUGAGUCCCACCAUCCACCAGUGACACCUAGCAGCAUGUAGUGGCUACCCAGCAGAAUGAAAUGAUGAACCUCUAGGUGCAGUUAACAUGUGAUACAGUCCUACUAUCGUGGAUCCCUACAGGACGGAGGUCAUAGACAACUCGUCAAACCCCAUCGUCUGUCAUAUGUCAAGAUUUAUUCGACUUGAGUUCGAUAGUGGAAAACUCUUUUUCCACUUUAUAUUACUGCCCUGGCCAAGGUCUUAGAACUCAGUCUAACAAAUCACAUAGGAUCACUCCUCUUCUAUCAAGGUCGAUAGAUUCCUUAUUGGUGCAUACCCUACUCCUACAGUGAACCUACUGCAGCCAAUCUACACUGCAUGGACCCAUAUGGCUAGAGACCAUGUAUGUGUGCAGUCAAACUACAAUAACCUCAUUGUGAGUAGCCGAAGCACCGCAGGUCAAAGGACCAGUCACACUACUGCAACAUCAAGCAAGUCACUGACGAGUGGAUAGACAUCCAAGUGACUUCUUGUCUUGGUCACG
rnacentral:lncRNA from 1 species